GUGCCAGCAGCCGCGGUAAUACCGGUGGCUCGAGUGGUGGCCGCUAUUAUUGGGUCUAAAGGGUCCGUACCGGCCUGAUAAGUUACUGGGAAAUCGGUGGCCUAACCCAUCGGGCGGCCAGGUAAUACUAUCAGCUCGGGACUAGAGAGACCAAGGUACUCAUGAGGUAGAGUGAAAUCCUGUAAUCUUAUGAGGACCACCAUGGUGAAGACGUCUGGUUAGAAUAGGUCCGACGGUGAGGGACGAAGCUGGGGGCGCAAACCGGAUUAGAUACCCGGGUAGUCCCAGCAGUAAACGAUGCCAGCUAUGUGUUGCUGGAACCAUGGGUUCCAGCAGUGCCGAAGGGAAGCCGUGAAGCUGGCCACCUGGGAAGUACGGUCGCAAGGCUGAAACUUAAAGGAAUUGGCGGGGGAGUGCCACAACCGGUGGAGCCUGCGGUUUAAUUGGAUACAACGCCGGGAAUCUUACCGGAGGGGACAGGCAGUAUGAAGGCCAGGCUAAAGACCUUGCCAGAUCAGCUGAGAGGAGGUGCAUGGCCGUCGCCAGUUCGUACCGUGAGGCAUCCUGUUUAGUCAGGCAACGAUCGAGACCCGCAGUCUUAUUUGCCAGCAUGCCCUUUGGGGUGUAUGGGUACAAUAAGACGACCGCCAGCGCUAAGCUGGAGGAAGGAGCGGGCUACGGUAGGUCAGCAUGCCCCGGAAUCCUCCGGGAUACACGCGGGGCUACAAUGG
rnacentral:rRNA from 1 species